rfam:Picea glauca, whole genome shotgun sequence.
ACAUGCCUACAACAUAUUAUUAAUGCAUCAUAUCCCAUUAGAACUCUGAAGUUAAGCAUGCUCAGGCUACAGUAGUACUAGGAUGGGUGACCUCCUGAGAAGUCUUAGUAUUUUACAUGCC